UGUGCCUAUGGGAGGCAGCAGUAGGGAAUCUUCCACAAUGGACGAAAGUCUGAUGGAGCAACGCCGCGUGAGUGAAGAAGGGUUUCGGCUCGUAAAGCUCUGUUGGGAGUGAAGAAAGAUAGAGGUAGUAACUGGCCUUUAUUUGACGGUAAUUACUUAGAAAGUCACGGCUAACUACGUGCCAGCAGCCGCGGUAAUACGUAGGUGGCAAGCGUUGUUCGGAAUGACUGGGCGUAAAGGGGGCGUAGGCGGUAG
rnacentral:rRNA from 1 species